UUAAUCUAGAAUACAUCGGAUGUAGGUAGGUAAAUCUUGGCGUCGUUAUAAUUUUCGUUCUUACGCAAGUACGCGAUGUGAAAACGAACGUGUAUCCUAAGAUAAAAUUCCAACAUGAGUGUUUCUUGGGGUGAUUACGGUUAGAAAUCAAUCUGUCAAAAAUUAUGGCAAGGGAAAAGGGCAACCCAGUGUAAAUUGCCCAUAGAAGGGUCACGGAGGGGUCCGGAAGCUCAAGGACAAAUUGGCAUACUUUCCGGCUCUUUAAUAUACCCGUGUCAAAUUAUUUCAAUUUUUUUAUGUCUCGUUUUUAUACCAGAGUUUUUUUUUUACGUUUCGUGUCUGUUUCCUUUAUCGUUCACUCGACCCCGAAUUCAAGCAGUUUAUGACACUUCGAUCUAGAUACUUACGCAACAGUUUUUAAACGCGAUGUCUUCACGGAAUUCGCACCUGAUUGGUAGCACAGUCCAAUUAUCUCUUUUAUUCGACGGUACCAGUAGGAAGACGCCCCUCGAAAUAAAUGGUUAUGGUAAUUUACUUUUUCUUUCCAUGGUAAUUCGUUUGUAGUAUUCUAUAUGUUCUCGGAAGUCCAGGUGAAAGCACAUUUUUUGAACGUGGUAUAAAUUUGAAGCGUAAGGUAGAGUGUGGGAAAGAACCAUUUGUGCGUUUGGGAGAGAGAGGUGUCCAAGAGUUAUUGUGUGAAGUUUUGUUGGGUCGUCGCCACCCGUAACCAGCAGGCGAGUGGAAGCAGCCACCGCAGGUACCGGGCCGGCCAACCUAAACUGUUGAGGCCGAGAGCCACGUUUAGUCGGAAGUACAUGUUAAAGUACUUGCUUUACACUCUCUUCAUCUGUAUGACCAGACGUCACACGGCAGUAGCCUGACCCCAAGAGUACACUCCCCGAGAAUUACCAUAACCAUUUUCCCUGGUGGGCACAACCAACCCUAUUCCGAUCCCGUGAGACCAAUCUGUAAAUGGCAGGGACCCCACUGAAGCCAGGCGGUGACUGAUCAACACACUGAUCGAGGCAGAGACGACAAUCCAGUCAACGCUAGUGUCACCAACCUGAGCCGAAUUCUGUAUCUGGGGAAGGUUGCAAGUAUCUUAAACAUAACCUAGAACCUGAAAUCUAAAACCCACAAAUUGGCUUUGAUUUAAAUUGUAAUUUGUAAAACUUAAAGACCGGUUGCUUUGUUUUCUUUACUUUGUUUCUUUUAAUGUAACAACUAAGUUGCUUUAUUUGAAGAUUUGGAUUGAUAUUUCUGUAUUCGUUUCUUGGCUGGAUCAGCAAAUUUUCCGUUAAUAUUUUGUUAAGACUCAGUUGAGAAAUUGCUGAAUUAUUUUGUUGAAUUGAGAUUUUCAUAUUUUUUGUGUUGUUGCAAAGUUGCUAAUUUGUAUGCCUUGCUAUACCUUCAAAGUUAACCCGUGCUAAUUCAACCUGCGAUUUAAUUUGCUUGAUUUGAGAUGUUUCUUUUGAUUUGCCUAAGUUAAAUCUGUUACAUUUUGUCAUCUUCAGAGAAACCCUGAAUUCUUUGGAUCGUUCUUAAGUUGAGUUCUUGAAUUGUGGAAGAUCCUUUGAUUAAAUUUGAUUAUUUUGUAGAUAUUCUUGUAAAUAUUCCUCUUCCUUUUUUUCAUUUGAUUUUUCUUUAAAAUAAAAUUGUACUUUUGCUCUUGAAGUUAAAAUCAAA
rnacentral:lncRNA from 1 species